AUGGCAUCUUCUACCUCAUCCUCCGCCCUUCUCCUCCAUGGGCUCGCUUGUGCUUCUCCCUCGAAGGCGCGACCUUUCUUCGUUUCCCGCAUCAGCCCCUCCUCCCCACUGUCGACCUCCACCUCCAUCAACGCCCCCUCUCCACGGCGGCCCUUGCCCCCUGCACCUCGCGCCGCCGGCCGCGGCGGUGACAAGGACAACCGCGUGCAGGAGCUGAGGGUGCCUGAUUCUUGGCUCACGCCCGCAGGAGCAGCGCAGGAAUCCGAAUGGCUGAGGGGAACGCUACACAAGUGGCUGGACGACGAGUACUGCCCCGAGCCGGCCAACGUGGACAUCAGCAACACGGCCGCAAGGUCGUACCACGAGUCCCUCACGGCGAAGCAGUCUGAUGUGGGGGAGAUCCUGAUGAAGAUGGUCGGAGAUCUGCAGGAGCUGUCGUACCAGGAGAGCUUCCACGGGGCCUUCUCCGCCGCCAACGCCGCGGUGCGUUUGAUAACGCAGAGGAUGGAGUCGUCAGCCGGUGAGUGA
rnacentral:rRNA from 1 species